UAGCUAGUUGGUGAGGUAAAGGCUUACCAAGGCGACGAUCUGUAGCGGGUCUGAGAGGAUGAUCCGCCACACUGGAACUGAGACACGGUCCAGACUCCUACGGGAGGCAGCAGUGGGGAAUUUUGGACAAUGGGGGCAACCCUGAUCCAGCCAUGCCGCGUGAGUGAAGAAGGCCUUCGGGUUGUAAAGCUCUUUCGGCCGGGAAGAAAUCGCGUGGGCCAAUACCCUGUGUGGAUGACGGUACCGGAAUAAGAAGCACCGGCUAACUACGUGCCAGCAGCCGCGGUAAUACGUAGGGUGCGAGCGUUAAUCGGAAUUACUGGGCGUAAAGCGUGCGCAGGCGGUUUUGUAAGACAGGCGUGAAAUCCCCGGGCUUAACCUGGGAACUGCGUUUGUGACUGCAAGGCUAGAGUACGGCAGAGGGGGGUGGAAUCCACGUGUAGCAGUGGAAUGCGUAGAGAUGUGGAGGAACACCAAUGGCGAAGGCAGCCCCCUGGGUCGAUACUGACGCUCAUGCACGAAAGCGUGGGUAGCAAACAGGAUUAGAUACCCUGGUAGUCCACGCCCUAAACUAUGUCAACUAGGUGUUGGGUGGGUAAAACCAUUUAGUACCGUAGCUAACGCGUGAAGUUGACCGCCUGGGGAGUACGGCCGCAAGGUUAAAACUCAAAGGAAUUGACGGGGACCCGCACAAGCGGUGGAUGAUGUGGAUUAAUUCGAUGCAACGCGAAAAACCUUACCUACCCUUGACAUGCCAGGAACUUGCCAGAGAUGGCUUGGUGCCCGAAAGGGAGCCUGGACACAGGUGCUGCAUGGCUGUCGUCAGCUCGUGUCGUGAGAUGUUGGGUUAAGUCCCGCAACGAGCGCAACCCUUGUCGUUAAUUGCCAUCAUUUAGUUGGGCACUUUAACGAGACUGCCGGUGACAAACCGGAGGAAGGUGGGGAUGACGUCAAGUCCUCAUGGCCCUUAUGGGUAGGGCUUCACACGUCAUACAAUGGUCGGUACAAAGGGUUGCCAAGCCGCGAGGCGGAGCCAAUCCCAGAAAGCCGAUCGUAGUCCGGAUUGCAGGCUGCAACUCGCCUGCAUGAAGUCGGAAUCGCUAGUAAUCGUGGAUCAGCAUGUCACGGUGAAUACGUUCCCGGGUCUUGUACACACCGCCCGUCACACCAUGGGAGCGGGUUCCGCCAGAAGUAGGUAGCCUAACCGCAAGGGGGGCGCUUACCACGGCGGGGUUCGUGACUGGGGUGAAGUCGUAACAAGGUAGCCGUAGGGGAACCUGCGGCUG
rnacentral:rRNA from 1 species